rnacentral:rRNA from 1 species
CGCCUGUUUAUCAAAAACAUCGCCUCUUGAAUAAUAAGAGGUACUGCCUGCUCAAUGCUUGUAGUAAAUAGCCGCGGUAUUCUGACCGUGCUAAGGUAGCAUAAUCAUUAGUCUUUUAAUUGUAGGCUGGUAUGAAUGGCAAGACGAGAAAGUGACUGUCUCUAAUAUGAUAAUUGAAGUUCACUUUUAGGUGAAAAGGCCUAAAUAAAUUCGGAGGACGAUCAGACCCUAUAGAGCUUUAAUUUCUUUCUUUUUUAAGUUUUUUGAAGUAAGAGCAAAAAAUGAUAGUAAAUUUUGGUUGGGGCGACAAGGAGUAAAAGUAACACUCUUUUAAAUAAACAUAUAUAAAUGAAGUAAUGAUCCCCUUUGUGGGAUUAAAAGACUCAGUUACCUUAGGGAUAACAGCGUAAUUUUCUUGGAGAGUUCUUAUCGAUAAGAAAGUUUGCGACCUCGAUGUUGGAUUAAGAUACCCGUUUGGUGCAGAAGCUAGAUUGGGAAGUCUGUUCGACUUUUAAAUUCUUACGUGAUCUGAGUUCAGACCGG